rnacentral:lncRNA from 1 species
AAGAGCCUGAAUUAGUUGGGUUCCAGCCAGGUGAGUAAUCAAUUCCACAACCAAUUCCCCUCUUGGCUCGUCUAACUCCAAUACACAGAUCGCCAGUUUCUGCCCUCAAGAAAACAAUCGAGUCCCCAGCAACAAGUUUCUUCUGAUUUACAAAACUACUCCACCCAGUCGUCAAAAGAUGACGACGUGGUGUUCCUCUAUAUAUAUGCCUAAACUUCCAAAUCUCACCAUGAACAUCCUUGGCAAGAAUAGUCUGAACAGGAGGCUCUACCGAGUAAUCCAACCGAGGAAAGAUUGUCUCAGCGCAAUAACGAGGCACAGAGAACCCUCCACCAUUGUUUGCAUCAGAUUGUGUCAAUGUCUUUGCAAACGAGGUAGGUUUAUCCUGACUCUUAAGUUCAUUGUGAAUUAGUAAAUCAUCCUCAUUAUCCAAAUUGAAUUCGUUGUUCGCCAGUGGACUCAACUUUAUCUUGGCAAAAACCUCAUCAGUUUCAGGAUCUGCCAUAUGUCUUAUGCCAGAUACCCUGCAAGGAAUGAUUGAAGGAAUUCGAGCAUUCCCAAAAUCGACAUUUCCCUGGGCAUGCUCAGUGUGGCCCUGAGGGAAAUAAACUACCUUUGAGUUAAUAGUAGGCAAUUGAAUCAGCCCACCGGCACAGGCAUGCCAUAGCUGAGAAUCUAAAUGCUUGUCAUGGUUCAUCAUUGGAUCAAUCACUGAAUCCAUUCCUCUAGUCGUAAUAAAACCAAAAGGUCCUCCAAGUCACAGAAACAACUCUUCCUUCCUUAUUGAUUCUCAAUCAAAAUCCUCACAGAUAAAUGAAUUUAACAAAACUAGGCGAACAGUAAUCAAUCACCCUCUGAUAAACGUACACAAAUUAGGGGGGGAAAUACCAAAAAUCCUAAAGAACAACAAAAAGCUCCGGUGCCCAAGCUUGAUUACUGGAGAACAAACAAACAAAUAGAAAAGGAAAAAUCAGAACAAAAAAAUAAAAAAUAAACUCUAAGACACCCAAAAGCUGAAUAAUAAUACAAAAUAUCAGAAAUCGGCCACAAAAACAACUAGACGCAUUUUCUCAUCAAAAUGAGUCAAGGAAAAAACAAAUAUCCACCAGUCGAUCUAUUGUGAUUUUUACAGAAGCUAAAAACACAUUCAUCAAGAAAAUGAAAAAUAAAACAAAAAAACAAAAAACAAAAAUUUAUCCUACCUCUUAUCCUGAAUCAAAAGUUGACUCCUCCGAAAUAACAUCCAAAUAGAAUCGAAGAGAAUGAAACUUCAGUGAAACCCCAAACUCAAAUUCGCUGUCAUUUACACAGAACUCAAGAUUCCAAACCAAAACCCACACCGAUUCUUCCACAAUCAACCAAAUCGUUUCCCCAAAUCCCCAAAUGGACGGAACAAAAAUACAAAAAGAAAAAGAAAAAAAAAAGAAAGAAAAAAAAAGAAGCAAAAAACUCUAGACUAACUCAAUAAUUGUCAAGCUGUUAUUACAGAAUCUGAGUGAAACCCAUAAUACAAAUCUAAAAAACCGUCUUAAUUUACUUCACAGAUACAACAAAGAAAUGAAAAGGAAAAAAAGCUGAAAUUAGAAGGGAAAGAGAAGAAUUGAUAAAGAUAAUUAUGAUUAAGACCGUCCGUACAGAGGAAAAGAGAGCUAGAAAUGAAGUGCUUCCUCCUUCACCAACACUCGCCUGAAAACUCUUUCUUCUUCGCCGACCUCACUUUAAUUGCCAGUGAGAAACUGAGAGAUUUAUUUAUAUUCUCUUCUCAAUUGUUUUUCUCUUCCUUUUUUAUUUUUUUAUAUUGUCGAUUUCAUUUUCUCUUUAUUUAUUUAAUCCCAAAUUCCAUCUCUCUUUUCUUUUUUUUUUUUCUCUCUCUCUCUCAUUUUAGAUAUUUUAAUUAAACUAAUUUUCGUUCCUUAUUAUUAUUAUUUUCAAAUAAUAUCUAUUUGCAUAAGUUUGUGAUUUUUUCACCAUCAUUUUGUGACAUUAACUCUAAAGUCAAAUCAUUAUUUUGGUCAAUUGGAUUAUGUUAAUAACUACAUAAAGUUAAUUAAAAGUGUAGUCAAUUCAACAUAGACAAAAAUAUUGCAAAUCUUUUUUUAAAAAAAAAGUAAAAAUAAAAACAUUCUUCGAUAUUUUUCUAAUUAUUAUUUUUUAACUAUAUGACGUCAUAUAUCUUUAUUUUCUUUUCUUUCUUUUUUUUUUUGUAACAAAACACCUUUUUUCUUUCCUUUCAUUUCGCAUUAUAGUUGAAAGUAAGGAAUGAGAUUUUUUUCGGAAAUUUUUCGGAACAGCGCCGAGUAAACACAUCCAAUAUUUAUCUUUUUUUUUUACAUUAAUAAACAAAAAAUUACCAUUUCCAAAUUGUAAAAUAAUAAUAUCAAAACCUCUAAUAUUUGUUUUUUAUUUUUAUUUUUUAGAUCUCAAAGAGUGUAACAACCACAUCCCAAGAAAACCACAAAUUCAGCCAUUCAUUCAGGUGUCCUUUUCCUUCUUCUUCUUCCUUGUUUGUUAUUUCAAUUUUUUCUAUAAAAUUUUAUAUCUCUCUAUAUAUAUAAUUAAUUAAAUAGCAAUUUAAUUUAAUUUUUGUAAUUUUAUUUAUUGGAUCCCAAACAUCGAUUUGCUCGAAUUUUUUAUUUCUAUUAUUUCUAUUUUUCCCCUUUCCCGCUUUUUUUGUUCCCACUCUUCCUCUUGACGCGUGACCUCACUCUCUUUUUUUCAGGACUAUUUAUUUAAUUUUAAUCAAAUAACAAAAGAAAUUGUGUUGUAUUAAUUAGUUACUUUGAAAUUUUUAUUAUAUGGUAACAUAUUAACUAGGAAUUGAUGGAGUGCGUGCAUGAUGUAGUUCGACCAAAAUUAUGCCUUUUUUUAUAAUCACUAUUUGACAUUUAUUUCCACAUCCCAAAAUUAUUUCAAGUUCUUAACCAUCCUAAGACUACAUAGUCAAUAGUGUCAUUUAUGGCAAAUUCUAACAUUUAGCUUAUUAGUAUUUUCUCACCUCUUAGUUCUACUAUAUUAUGUGUUUAACAUUUUCAUCCAUUAUGAGAAAAAACACAUAACAAUAAUUUAUGUAUUAUUUAAAAUUUUAAAUUUACUUAGAGAUUUAGCACAUUUUCACUUUAUUAAUUUUUCAUGUAACAAAUCUAUCAUCACAUAGUGCUUUUUACAAAUAGGGAAAGAAAAGUCAACCACAUGUGAUUAAAUAUAGUUGUUCUUUUAGAUAUUGGAGAUUCAAAGUUAUAACACAUAAAAUUUAUCCGAUUUCAUAAAAAGCAAAGAUUUUUCUUAUUGAACAAUUGAGUCUUGUUUGAUUAGAAAGUAUAAAUGUUAAUAUUAAAACAAAUGGUGUUGACUUAAACAUAAGUUAAAUAAUUGUCAUAAUCUACUACUUAAUAUCUUGUCUUACUCCCUAGCCCAACAUCAAUGUCUUGUCUCCCACACUAUAUAACAUAAUUAGGCAUUUCUUAGAAUAAUUUAUUAUUAUUCUAUUUGUUUUUUUUUUUGAACAUAAAAGUUUGAAAAGAAAAGGAAAAAGGAGAAAAAGUAGUAAUUUAGAAAGAAAAGAAAAAUAGUAUUAAGAAGAUAGAGUCAAAAUGGUUGGGGUUGGGGGGAUGAUAUUGUUGAAGAAGCACUGAAAUCAAGGGAGGGUGGAGGCGGUAAAAAAGGAACCAUAGUCAAGGUUAGGUUGUCAUGAAUCCUAACUCUCCGGAGUUAACCAUGGUUAAGGCUUUAACCGAAUCCCGGCUUUCCAAGUUGUCGGUUAACAAUAACAAAAUAAGCUUUAAUUUUCUUCCCCUCUUUUUUUGUUAUUUGUUUUCCCCAUUUUUAGGUCUCUUCCAAAGAUUUGGUCAGUUCUACACACUACAACACUCCAUUCGCCAUUCAUAUCUCCCCCCAACCCUCAUUUUGUCUUUUAAUUAAAUCUCUUUUUAAUUUCUCCAUUACGCUUCAUCUCUUUUUGGAUCAACCCAUUUUUGUUAACUAAGGACCCCCCACAAAUCCAUUUUCUUCUAGUGACUACCAUUAUUCAAAACUCAUUUUAAGAUUUAAAAACAGAAAAUAAAUUUUACCAUUUUAUUAUUGGAUGAACUUGAACCACUCUAAGCAAACUACGAGGAGGUGUAUUGAGACACUAUUGUAGUAAGCUUGAGUUGUACUCUUAGAUUUGUGUAACAUGUGGUGUUGUUCAUAUGGAUUUGAAUUUGUGUUUAAUAAUACAAGUAUUUUAUUUUAGUUUUUUUUUUCGUAAAACAUGAAUUGAGAUUGUGGAGUAAAAGUCUAUAUUUUGUAAAAAAAACAAAAAAAAAAAUCAUAUUUUUUAAAAAUAAAAAAUUAACAAACAAUUUACCAACAAAAUUACUAAAAAAAACCGUUAGAAAAGAUAAAUAUUAUAUUUUUUAAAAUUUCCCUUUUAGUAUAUUUAUUAAUUUAUUCUCACUUUUUUAUUAUUCAUAAGGUUGAAAUUAAAACCACACACAAUUUGAGUUUUAGGUUCCAUACAAAUAUGCUUCUCUAACUAAAUAUAGAUUUUAUUUUUCAAUAUUUAAUUUAAUUUUGUCCAUAGAUAUUAUCUAAAUAGCGACAAAAAUUGGAAUAAUUGAUUUUGUAAUAUUGAUAAAAAAAAAAAUAUAGAUGAUGAGAAGAAGUGAGGGGGAAAGAAGGAGUAAUAAAAAGUGAAAAAGGUAAAAAGAGAAGAAAUGAUAGAGAAUAAAUGAGAAAUAAAGAAGACAUUCUGGAAAAAGGAAUCUGGCAAUGUAGGUAGAGUAGAAAAGGACUGUUUAACCACACUAUGCUGUCUUAAAAUUGACAUUUUUUAUUUUAUAAUAUACAUGAUCUUAUGAAUGAAUUUAUAUAUAAGUAUAAGUGUGUGUGUAUAUUAUGUUAGAAAUAAAAGAUAUGGAGUAUUGUUUGGUGGUUUAUAGGGAUAUAGGGACACAAAGAGAGUUGGACAUCAUUCAAAACAUUGACAAGACAACCAACUGUUACUAUUAUGUCCAACUUCACAUCACUUCAAUUCCCUUUUUUUUCUUUUUCAUUUUUACUCUUUUAUAUAUAUAUAAACACUUUCUUGUUCUUCUUCACAACACAUCAUUCAAUUGCUUCCUUCACAAACAUAAAAACCAUUAUUCAGAAUUAUAUUCUCAACCAAACUCACAAUUUUACUUUGUUUUACUUUUAUCUAAUUAUCCAACUAAUUAUCUUAAUACCCA